GUCUUGGCUAACGUGUCUUGGCUAAUGUGUCUUGGCUAAGGUGUCUUGGCUAAGGUAUCUUGGCUACUGUGUCUUGGCUAAUGUGUCUUGGCUACGGUGUCUUGGCUAAUGUGUCUUGGCUAAUGUGUCUUGGCUAAGGUGUCUUGGUUAAGGUGUCUUGGCUAAUGUGUCUUGGCUAAGGUGUCUUGGCUAAUGUGUCUUGGCUAAGGUGUCUUGGCUAAUGUGUCUUGGCUAAUGUGUCUUGGCUAAUGUGUCUUGGCUAAGGUGUCUUCGCUAAUGUGUCUUGGCUAAUGUGUCUUGGCUAAGGUGUCUUGGCUAAGGUGUCUUGGCUAAUGUGUCUCGGCAAAUGUGUCUUGGCUAAGGUGUCUUGGCUAAUGUGUCUUGGCUAAUGUGUCUUGGCUAAGGUGUCUUGGCUAAGGUGUCUUGGCUAAGGUGUCUUGGCUAAUGUGUCUUGGCUAAUGUGUCUUGGCUAAUGUGUCUUGGCUAAUGUGUCUUGGCUAAGGUGUCUUGGCUAAUGUGUCUUGGCUAAGGUGUCUUGGGUAAUGUGUCUUGGCUAAUGUGUCUUGGCUAAGGUGUCUUGGUUAAGGUGUCUUGGCUAAUGUGUCUUGGCUAAGGUGUCUUGGCUAAUGUGUCUUGGCUAAUGUGUCUUGGAUAAUGUGUCUUGGCUAAGGUGUCUUGGCUAAUGUGUCUUGGCUAAUGUGUCUUGGCUAAGGUGUCUUGGCUAAUGUGUCUUGGCUAAGGUGUCUUGGCUAAUGUGUCUUGGCUAAGGUGUCUUGGCUAAUGUGUCUUGGCUAAGGUGUCUUUGCUAAUGUGUCUUGGCUAAUGUGUCUUGGCUAAGGUGUCUUGGCUAAGGUGUAUUGGCUAAUGUGUCUUGGCUUAAGUGUCUUGGCUAAUGUGUCUCGGCUAAUGUGUCUUGGCUAAGGUGUCUCGGAUAAUGUGUCUUGGCUAAGGUGUCUUGGCUAAGGUGUCUUGGCUAAUGUGUCUUGGCUAAGGUGUCUUGGCUAAUGUGUCUUGGCUAUGGUGUCUUGGCUAAGGUGUCUUGGCUAAUGUGUCUUGGCUAAGGUGUCUUGGCUAAGGUGUCUUGGCUAAUGUGUCUUGGCUAAGGUGUCUUGGCUAAGGUGUCUUGGCUUAUGUGUCUUGGCUAAGGUGUCUUGGCUAAUGUGUCUUGGCUAAGGUGUCUUGGCUAAUGUGUCUUGGCUAAGGUGUCUUGGCUAAUGUGUCUUGGCUAAGGUGUCUUGGCUAAUGUGUCUUGGCUAAGGUGUUUUGGCUAGUGUGUCUUGGCUAAGGUGUCUUGGCUUAUGUGUCUUGGCUAAUGUGUCUUGGCUAAAGUGUCUUGGCUAAAGUGUCUUGGCUAAUGUGUCUUGGCUAAUGUGUCUUGGCUAAUGUGUCUUGGCUAAGGUGUCUUGGCUAAGGUGUCUUGGCUAAUGUGUCUCGGCAAAUGUGUCUUGGCUAAUGUGUCUUUUCUAAUGUGUCUUGGCUAAUGUGUCUUGGCUAAGGUGUCUUGGCUAAGGUGUCUUGGCUAAGGUGUCUUGGCUAAUGUGUCUUGGCUAAUGUGUCUUGGCUAAUGUGUCUCGGCUCAAGUGUCUUGGCUAAUGUGUCUUGGCUAAUUUGUCUUGGCUAAGGUGUCUUGGCUAAUGUGUCUUGGCUACGGUGUCUUGGGUAAUGUGUCUUGGCUAAUGUGUCUUGGCUAAGGUGUCUUGGUUAAGGUGUCUUGGCUAAUGUGUCUUGGCUAAGGUGUCUUGGCUAAUGUGUCUUGGCUAAGGUGUCUUGGCUUAUGUGUCUUGGCUAAUGUGUCUUGGCUAUGUGUCUUGGCUAAGGUGUCUUGGCUAAUGUGUCUUGGCUAAUGUGUCUUGGCUAAGGUGUCUUGGCUAAGGUGUCUUGGCUAAUGUGUCUCGGCAAAUGUGUCUUGGCUAAGGUGUCUUGGCUAAUGUGUCUUGGCUAAUGUGUCUUGGCUAAGGUGUCUUGGCUAAGGUGUCUUGGCUAAGGUGUCUUGGCUAAGGUGUCUUGGCUAAUGUGUCUUGGCUAAUGUGUCUUGGCUAAGGUGUCUUGGCUAAUGUGUCUUGGUUAAGGUGUCUUGGCUAAUGUGUCUUGGCUAAGGUGUCUUGGCUAAGGUGUCUUGGCUAAUGUGUCUUGGCUAAUGUGUCUUGGCUAAUGUGUCUUGGCUAAUGUGUCUUGGCUAAUGUGUCUUGGCUAAGGUGUCUUGGCUAAUGUGUCUUGGCUAAGGUGUCUUGGCUAAGGUGUCUUGGCUAAGGUGUCUUGGGUAAUGUGUCUUGGCUAAUGUGUCUUGGCUAAGGUGUCUUGGUUAAGGUGUCUUGGCUAAUGUGUCUUGGCUAAGGUGUCUUUGCUAAUGUGUCUUGGCUAAUGUGUCUUGGCUUAUUUGUCUU